AACGUAGGGGACAAGCGUUAUCCGGAUUUACUGGGCGUAAAGCGCCCGUAGGCGGCUAGAUAAGUUGGACGUGAAAGCUCCUGGCUUAACUGGGAGAGGCCGUUCAAAACUGUUUGGCUAGAGUCUGGAAGAGGAGAGCGGAAUUCCCGGUGUAGUGGUGGAAUGCGUAGAGAUCGGGAGGAACACCAGUGGCGAAAGCGGCUCUCUGGUCCAAAACUGACGCUGAGGGGCGAAAGCGUGGGGAGCGAACGGG
rnacentral:rRNA from 1 species